GAUGAACGCUAGCGGCAGGCUUAAUACAUGCAAGUUGAGGGGCAGCAUGAUAUACGCGAGUAUAUUGAUGGCGACCGGCGGACGGGUGAGUAAUAGGUAGGAGACCUACCUCAUACAGGGGGAUAGCAUAGAGAAAUCUGUGGUAAUACCCCAUGAGGUUAUAUGAAUAGAGGCAUAUAAUCAAAGCAUAAGCGAUUAUGCGGUAUGAGAGGGGCCUACUGACCAUUAGCUAGUUGGUGAGGUAAGGGCUCACCAAGGCGAAGAUGGUUAGGGGUUUUGAGAGAGAGACCCCCCACAUUGGAACUGAGAGACGGUCCAGACUCCUACGGGAGGCAGCAGUAGGGAAUAUUGGGCAAUGGGCGAAAGCCUGACCCAGCCAUGCCGCGUAGAAGGAAGACGGCCUUAUGGGGUUGUAAACUUUCGUUUAACUACGACGAAUAGAGGUUAGUACGAGGAUACGUAAUAGGAAGUAGUGUAGUAAAAGCACGGCUAACUCCGUG
rnacentral:rRNA from 1 species